rnacentral:rRNA from 1 species
CAGUCGCCGCGGUAAUACGUAGGGUGCAAGCGUUAAUCGGAAUUACUGGGCGUAAAGCGUGCGCAGGCGGUUAUAUAAGACAGAUGUGAAAUCCCCAGGCUCAACCUGGGAACUGCAUUUGUGACUGUAUAGCUAGAGUACGGCAGAGGGGGAUGGAAUUCCGCGUGUAGCAGUGAAAUGCGUAGAUAUGCGGAGGAACACCGAUGGCGAAGGCAAUCCCCUGGGCCUGUACUGACGCUCAUGCACGAAAGCGUGGGGAGCAAACAGGAUUAGAUACCCCCGUAGUCCCUGUCUCUUAUAC